rnacentral:tRNA from 1 species
CGGGCCCAUACCCCGAAAAUGUUGGUAUAAAUCCCUUCCUGUACUA